rnacentral:rRNA from 1 species
CACGCGGUAAACGAUGAAUGCUAGGUGUAGGAGGUAUCGACCCCUUCUGUGCCGGAGCUAACGCAAUAAGCAUUCCGCCUGGGGAGUACGGCCGCAAGGUUGAAACUCAAAGGAAUUGACGGGGGCCCGCACAAGCAGCGGAGCAUGUUGUUUAAUUCGACGCAACGCGAAGAACCUUACCAGGGCUUGACAUCCAAUGAAUCCUACGGAAACGUGGGAGUGCCCUUCGGGGAGCAUUGAGACAGGUGG